rnacentral:rRNA from 1 species
UAACCUGCGGAAGGAUCAUUAAAAUA